AGGCUACGCCAUUAGAGGCAUAUCUACAAGCUUAUCUUAAAGAUUGGGAGAAUUGCUUGAGCUAGAAAAAGUAGACAAUUUUAUUACAGCACCCAUCUCCAAUUGAAGCAGCUCUUACGCUAGUUUUGGUAGCUCCGAGCAAGCUGAAGUAGGAUCUGAAAUAGGAUGUCCUUGAGUUCCUAUUUGGCAGGAGCCGCUUUAGCCGUUGGCUUCCUCGAGGAUACGCACGUACUGUUGAUGGGGUUCUGCUAUCUUCAAC
rnacentral:misc_RNA from 1 species